rnacentral:lncRNA from 1 species
UUAUGUAACUAACUUUCUAAUCUCAAAAUGAAAUAACUGAUUUUGUUACAAAUUCAAGCCAAUUUAGGUUUAUAUAUAAUGAUCCAAAAUUCAAACCAAAUUCAAAGGUAAAUGAAACUCAAAUAAAAAUGCAAAUGAAAUUCAAAGCUAAACUAACUUGAAUGUUGAAUUACAUUCAACAAUUCUUGAAAUUUCUAGGUUUAUGGUUCGAAUUU